UACGAAGGGUGCAAGCGUUAAUCGGAAUUACUGGGCGUAAAGCGCGCGUAGGUGGUUUGUUAAGUUGGAUGUGAAAGCCCUGGGCUCAACCUGGGAACUGCAUUCGAUACUGUCGAGCUAGAGUGUGGGAGAGGGUGGUGGAAUUCCCGGUGUAGCGGUGAAAUGCGUAGAUAUCGGGAGGAACAUCAGUGGCGAAGGCGACUCCCUGGCACCAUACUGACGCUGAGGCACGAAAGCGUGGGGAUCAAACAGGAUUAGAUACCCUGGUAGU
rnacentral:rRNA from 1 species